rnacentral:lncRNA from 1 species
AUGGAGUCCUGUUCCCAGCUGGGAAGGGCUCUGCCGGGUGAAGCUGAGCCUUGGCCUGCAGCUGAGCAUGAGGGAAGGUUCCAGUGCUCCACCCAGGCCUCGUGUGGCCUCACAGGGGAUCUCACUUCUCCACUGCUGCAGCCCUGCUCUGGGUCGUAUUCCCCCUGGGACAGCUCUUUGGGGCUGUCCUGUUCCCAGUCUGACUCCAGGCUGAAGCAGGAAUUCUCAUGCCCUGAUGUUUUCCCCACUGCUGCUCCUGCCCCCUGCCCCCCGACAGCUCCCGGCGGGCUGGGCAGGGCAGUGAGGGGGCAGCAGGGGCUGUGCGAGGCCUGUGCCCAGCUCUCUGCCCGUGCUGCUGCUGCUGCCACCGCCUCCGUGCCCCGAUGCAGAAUUCAGAGCAAGACACGGGAGAACUCAUGCAGUUCAGGAGGUAAAGGGAAAAAAUGCAGAGUGCUUUUCCCAGGCUGGACUCUGUUGGUUUGGAUUAUAAGGAUAAAUGAGGAAGUUCACAGCCCCUGGAUCCUCCAGUGUAUGCCAGUGUUGCAACAACACUCCCUAUUGUCCCUCCUGUCUGUACCUUGCUUAUCAUUAUGGAAUAGUUUUGGUGCAUAUGGGGGCUGGAUGCCUUUGGAUAAAACUAAAAUCCUCCUAAUUAAAAGCCUCAUUGUGUAAGGGGAGGAUAAGGAAAACACAGUUUUCAGAUGUAUAUUGGUUUGUUUUUAUGGUAAUUUUUGUUUCAGAGGAGUUAUAGUUAUAUAGUUUAAAAUAAUGAGGGAGGAAAGGAAAAGGGAAAGGGAAAGGGAAAGGGAAAGGGAAAGGGAAAGGGAAAGGGAAAG